rnacentral:rRNA from 1 species
UACGGGGGGGGCAAGCGUUGUUCGGAAUUACUGGGCGUAAAGGGCUCGUAGGUGGCCAACUAAGUCAGACGUGAAAUCCCUCGGCUUAACCGGGGAACUGCGUCUGAUACUGGAUGGCUUGAGUUCGGGAGAGGGAUGCGGAAUUCAAGGUGUAGCGGUGAAAUGCGUAGAUAUCUGGAGGAACACCGGUGGCGAAGGCGGCACCCUGGACCGACACUGACGCUGAGGAGCGAAAGCCAGGGGAGCAAACGGG